GAAACACUCACUGAGAGAGACUCACUCACCUGCUGGCUCUGGAACCUGCAGACGGAUGAUUCUGAUUGGCUCCGAGUCAAUGAUGGCUCUCUUUCUACGUCUUGAACCAGCUGGUGCAACUCGACACUCGUCAGGUCUGGUCCACUCUGCAGCUCUGAUGGAGGGAUGAGCAGCCUGACAUGGCAGAAUGACAUCAUCUCCAGGAUGCACUGUUACCUCAAUCAGAUCCCACCAGGUAGAGGUCUCUCUCUCAGAGGUCAGACACUGGAGUACAGGAGCACCUCAAGGCUGUGGGAGUUCACCUAUCCUCUUCACACUUCACACCAGUGAAAGC